AACGAACGCUGGCGGCAUGCCUAACACAUGCAAGUCGAACGAGACCUUCGGGUCUAGUGGCGCACGGGUGCGUAACGCGUGGGAACCUGCCCUUAGGUUCGGAAUAACUCCCCGAAAGGGGUGCCAAUACCGGAUAAUGUCUUCGGACCAAAGAUUUAUCGCCUUUGGAUGGGCCCGCGUUGGAUUAGCUAGUUGGUAGGGUAAAAGCUUACCAAGGCGACGAUCCAUAGCUGGUCUGAGAGGAUGAUCAGCCACACUGGGACUGAGACACGGCCCAGACUCCUACGGGAGGCAGCAGUGGGGAAUAUUGGACAAUGGGCGAAAGCCUGAUCCAGCAAUGCCGCGUGAGUGAUGAAGGCCUUAGGGUUGUAAAGCUCUUUUACCCGGGAUGAUAAUGACAGUACCGGGAGAAUAAGCUCCGGCUAACUCCGUG
rnacentral:rRNA from 1 species